CUUCCUCCUCCAGCAGCAUGGCCAGCGCAUCCUCGUCAUCCGAGUCCAUCGCCGGGGCAGGCAAAUCGCCGAACACCUUGCGCCCGGUGGGCGUGUACCCUUCGCGGCCGGAAACGGCCAGCUGCUGGUGGAGGGGCUGCCUCGGCAAACCUCUGCUAUUUUUUCGGCGGGGAUUGGCUAUCUAGCGGUGAAGGACGGCGGGCGGCGCCGGGAUAGCUACUGGCGGCCGAGGGCGCGGGGGGUGGGAGGCGAGUCGGGGAAGAAGAACUUAACUUUUCCACCUGACGGUGUGGGCCAGCCGCGCUUUUGCCUUGCGCCAAAGCCCCCGAUCGCCCCCCAGUGCGCCAGGUUCGGCCUGCGACCGCCGGGCCUAAAAACGGGCCGAACCGGCGCUUUUCGGCGUCCUGAGGGCACAACUGGGACGUUUUUUUGGCGCCGGCACCGAAAAAGUGACCUGUGGGAGGCCUCUCGGGGGGGCGGCUGGAGAUGCUCUCACAUCUCGUGUUCCAGUUCAGCUGAUAUUCCCCAUCCUAGUCGCUAAGCGCGGGCCAGACUGCAACAGAGCGGAGCCACUAAUCUGGUGACCUCCGGCGAGCUCGCAUCCUUGAGCCUCGGUCGUCGAUCUGCUCUGCAAUCCCUCCUGGCUCCUCCGCCCCACGCUGCAACGGAGCGACCAUCCCGGUCAACUCCGGCGAGCUCACCCCGCCUCCUUCAGGAUCCAGCCUCAAUCGUCGAUCUGCGCCGCCGCCACUUCUACCCCCGCGGCUCUCCACCCGCAAGCACGGCGAUCUGACCCACCCUACCCCCACCCACACAGACGCAUCGAAGUAAGUGCGCGGCGCACCUGGAGCGAAGAGAUGGCGGUGACCAUGACGAGCGUUUCCACCGGCGUGAUGUACUCCCUCCUCGGGAAGCUCGCAACGCUGAUGGGGAAUGAGCAUCGCAAGAUCAAAGGCGUCCGGAACAAGGUAGCGUCCCUUCUGGACGAGUUCAGUAGCAUGAGUGCUCUGCUUGUGAAGCUCGCAGGCAUGGAUGAGCUUGACGUUCAGGCGAGGGAGUGGAGGGACCAGGUCCGGGAGAUGUCAUACGACAUCGAAGACUGCGUCGACGAUUUCAUGCGUGACCUUGGACAAAAAGGCGCAACCACUGGAUUUCUGAAGAAGACUGCCGAACGCCUGAAGAAGCUCAGGGUGCGCCAUCAAAUGGCCACCAUGAUCCGUAGGAUCGAGACUCGUGUAAGUGAAGUGCAUGACCGGCGCACGAGGUACAAAAUUGAUGAGUACACUCCAUAAUCCGGCAUUGUCGCUGUCGAUCCAAGAGUGAUUGCCAUCUAUGCAGAGGCGGCCGGUCUUGUGGGCAUCGAUGCUCCAAGAGACGAGCUCGUGGAAGAUGUUGAUGGUUGAAGGGAAAGAGCUGAGGGUGGCUUCUAUUGUGGGAUUCGCUGGUCUUGGAAAAACCACACUUGCAAAUGAAGUGUACCGUAAGCUUCAAGGACAAUUUGAUUGCCAUGCAUUUGUGUCGGUGUCUCACAAACCAGAUAUGCCGAACCUUCUCAGCAAUUUGUUAUGGAAACUUGUGGGGCAACACUCUUCUCAAAUGGGCAAGUUGGACCGGUAUCAGGGAAUAUCUAUCGAAUAAGAGUAGAACUCCUGCUCGACCUGGACGUACUCGGGAUGCUCCCGCGCAAACCGAGCCAUCGCCGCUCUCUCCGGGAGUGACGACAACCGCCGGUCUCUUCUUCGCCAGCAUCUCCUCCAUCCGGAUACCCUGCGCCACGAGCCACUCCGCCACCGCCCGGGUCUCGAUCUCCGGGAAGUUGAGCUCCAGCAUGGACGUAGGAGACGUUCACCGUCGAGCUCGAGCAUGGACGUAGGAAAGGACGUCAAGCAACGGCUCCGGACAGGUGUACGACAUGCGUAGACAUCGUUGUCGCCAGCACCACUGAAAAUUCCCGAUGAAGUUAGUAAUAAUGUACAUCUAUGAAUAACCACAAAAAGAAAAGGAAAACUCUCUAAAUCAACCGGUUGAUCUUUCCCUCCCGUAAA